rnacentral:rRNA from 1 species
GACGAACGCUGGCGGCGUGCUUAACACAUGCAAGUCGAACGGAAAGGCCCUGCUUUUGUGGGGUGCUCGAGUGGCGAACGGGUGAGUAACACGUGAGUAACCUGCCCUUGACUUUGGGAUAACUUCAGGAAACUGGGGCUAAUACCGGAUAGGAGCUCCUGCUGCAUGGUGGGGUUGGGAAGUUUGGGCGGUUGGGGAUGGACUCGCGGCUUAUCAGCUUGUUGGUGGGGUAGUGGCUUACCAAGGCUUUGACGGGUAGCCGGCCUGAGAGGGUGACCGGCCACAUUGGGACUGAGAUACGGCCCAGACUCCUACGGGAGGCAGCAGUGGGGAAUAUUGCACAAUGGGCGGAAGCCUGAUGCAGCAACGCCGCGUGCGGGAUGACGGCCUUCGGGUUGUAAACCGCUUUCGCCUGUGACGAAGCGUGAGUGACGGUAAUGGGUAAAGAAGCACCGGCUAACUACGUG